rnacentral:lncRNA from 1 species
AAAAUUGACUUUGCUUCUUUGAGAACAGCAUGGUGAGUCUACUAUCCUUGACUUUUCAUCAAUUUGUUUCAUCACUAAAGUAUUUCAAGUUGCUGUCUACGUCAAGGCAAGAAAGUUCUGUAGGGUUUCAGCUGAAAAAUCAGAAGCCACACAGGCUUGCUGGAACACACAGCUGCAUUUCCAGCUCUGAUUUUAAAUGUGCUCUAUCUGGAUCCAUAUUCUGCACAAUCUGCCUCUUGUGAUGAAGAUGAAAAUGGUUACCUUAAAGUUCUCUUCGGUCAGGCCUUCUUCAGUUUUAGCAUCUCUAAUCAUUGCAGCAACGUAUCGCUUCACCAGGUUCCUCAU